rnacentral:lncRNA from 1 species
UUUUCCCCACAUUGUGGGUUGUCUCUUCACGCUGCUGGUUGUUUCUCUUGCUGUGCAGAAGGUUUUUAAUAAGAAGAGAUCCCACUUGUUGAUUGUGCUAGUUCACCGGGCAACUGAGGUUUUGUUCAUAAAAUCUUUUCCUACAUCAGUGUCUUUAAGAGUUCUCUCUAACCUCUGUUCCAGCUAGUUCAGUGUUUCUAUUUUAAUAUUUAGAUCUUUAAUCCAUUUCAAUUUUAGUUUAGUGUAUGGUGAGAGAUAUAGGUCUAGUUUUAAUCUUUGGCAAGUUGGAAACCCAGUUUUUCCAGCACCAUUUAUUAAAGAGGCUAUCUUUCCUCCAGUGAGGGUGUUUGGCUCCUUUAUCGAAGAUGAGAUGGCUGAGUGUGUCUGGCGUUGUUUCUGCAUCUUCUAAUCUGUUCCACUGGUCCUCAAGUCUGUUUGUUUGCCAGCACCAUGCUGCUUAUCACAGUAGCUUUGUAGUAUAGUUGCAGGUUGGGGAUUGUGAUACCCCCUGCCAUGUGUCUGUUACCUAGAAUUGCUUUUGCUCUUCUGGGUCUCCUCUUGCUCCAAAUGAAUUUUUGGAUUUUUUUCUCAAAGUCCAUGAAGUAUGGUGCUGGGAUCUCAAUUGGAAUUGCCUUGAAUCUAUAUAGCAGUUUUGGAAGUAUGGCCAUUUUCACUCUAUUAAUCCUUCCUACCCAGGAGCAGGGGAUGUCUGUCCAUUUUCUGAUAUCAUCUUCAAUCUCUCUUUUCAGAGUGCCAUAGUUUUCAGAGAAGAGGUGUUUGAUUUCUUUUGUUAGGAUGAUUCUUAGGUAUUUCAGUUUUUUGGAUGCUAUUGUGAAAGGAAUUGUUUGCCCUAUUUCUCUCUCAGUGAGUCUGUUGUUCGUUCAGAGGAAAGCUAUUGAUUUUUAUGUGUUGUCCUUGUAACCAGCUACUUGACUGAAUUUGGUUAUUAAGUCUAGAAGACUUUUGGUGGAGUUCUUGGGGUCUUCUAUGUCAUCUGCAAAUAAUGACAAUUUGACUUCUUCAUUACCUAUCUUUAUUCCUUUUAUGUCUUUCUCUUGUCUAAUUGCCGUGGCUAAUGUUUCCAGAACUAUAUUGAACCAGAGUGGUGAUAGUGGACAUCCUUGUCUUGUUCCUGAAUUUAGUGUGAAGGAUUUCAGUUUUUGACCAUUUAGUAUGAUAUUGGCUUUUGGUUUUUCAUAGAUGGCGUCUAUCAGUUUGAGGUAGAGACCAUCUGUUCCAAUUUUUUGUAGGGUUUUUAUCAUAAAUGCAUGUUG